AUUGAACGCUGGCGGCAGGCCUAACACAUGCAAGUCGAGCGGAUGAAGGGAGCUUGCUCCUGGAUUCAGCGGCGGACGGGUGAGUAAUGCCUAGGAAUCUGCCUGGUAGUGGGGGAUAACGUCCGGAAACGGGCGCUAAUACCGCAUACGUCCUGAGGGAGAAAGUGGGGGAUCUUCGGACCUCACGCUCUCAGAUGAGCCUAGGUCGGAUUAGCUAGUUGGUGGGGUAAAGGCCUACCAAGGCGACGAUCCGUAACUGGUCUGAGAGGAUGAUCAGUCACACUGGAACUGAGACACGGUCAAGACUACUACGGGAGGCAGCAGUGGGGAAUAUUGGACAAUGGGCGAAAGCCUGAUCCAGCCAUGCCGCGUGUGUGAAGAAGGUCUUCGGAUUGUAAAGCACUUUAAGUUGGGAGGAAGGGCAGUAAGUUAAUACCUUGCUGUUUUGACGUUACCAACAGAAUAAGCACCGGCUAACUUCGUG
rnacentral:rRNA from 1 species